GCACAUGUGGCGGAAUGGUAGACGCGCUGGCUUCAGGUGCCAGUGGCCUUCACGGCCGUGGGGGUUCAACUCCCCCCAUGUGCA
rnacentral:tRNA from 1 species